AUUGAACGCUGGCGGCAGGCCUAACACAUGCAAGUCGAACGAGUGGCGGACGGGUGAGUAAUGUCUGGGAAACUGCCUGAUGGAGGGGGAUAACUACUGGAAACGGUAGCUAAUACCGCAUACCAUCAGAUGUGCCCAGAUGGGAUUAGCUAGUUGGGGGGUUAUCGGCUCACCAAGGAUACGCUCCCUAGCUGGUCUGAGAAGAUGACCAGCAACACUGGAACUGAGACACGGUCCAUACUGCGACGGGAGGGAGCAGUGGGGAAUAUUGCACAAGGGGCGCAAGCCUGAUGCAGCCAUGCCGCGUGUAUGAAGAAGGCCUUCGGGUUGGAAAGUACUUUCAGCGGGGAGGCGUUACCCGCAGAAGAAGCACCGGCUAACUCCGUGCCAGCAGCCGCGGUAAUAC
rnacentral:rRNA from 1 species